rnacentral:rRNA from 1 species
UACGAAGGGUGCAAGCGUUAAUCGGAAUUACUGGGCGUAAAGCGUGCGCAGGCGGUUUUGUAAGCCAGGUGUGAAAUCCCCGGGCUCAACCUGGGAAUGGCAUUUGGGACUGCAAGGCUGGAGUGCGGCAGAGGAGACUGGAAUUCCUGGUGUAGCAGUGAAAUGCGUAGAUAUCAGGAGGAACACCGAUGGCGAAGGCAGGUCUCUGGGCUGACACUGACGCUCAUGCACGAAAGCGUGGGGAGCAACAG